CUCUGUAAAGACACACCAUUUCUCUUACUAUUACACGUACAGCUAGCUGAGUGUCUUCUUCUCCUCAUUUGGUCGGGAGUUGCUAUGCAGCCCCGCGGCCCUCGCGGCCCACACGUACAAAACUGAAAUUUUUUUGGCGGCCCACUAGAUGGCGCUCGCGGCCCAAGUGUGGGCCGCGGCCCUAUGGUUAAGAAUCACUGCCCUAGAUCUCAAGUGCCCUAAAAUCCGUCCCUUCUUUUUUAGGGGGUAGUGAAGAAAAGAAGGGCGAGUAUUGGGAUUGGGCCUUGGACUAAUCACAUCGUAUCAUUUCUUCCCCCCCCAACAGGAAGUUCCACAAGAAGCUGGGUCAGCAGGCGUGGCUGGUGGCGGCAAUCACGGUAACAGAGUUCCUCAUAGUGGUCAAGUACGACCCAAACACCCUCAUGCUGCCCAUCCCCUUCUUCGUCACGCAGUGCUGGUUGUUAGGAAUCCUGCUCAUAUUCAUCUGGACGCUGUGGAGAUUUUUUAUCCGUGACAUCACACUCCGCUACAAAGAGACCCGUCGGCGCAGACAGGAAGCGCCGGGCGAGUGGGACCGCCCUCUGACGGCCGGCCCGCCCACGCCCGCCCCGUCCGGCCGGAGCAAACUCAACGGCAGCUCCGACGUUCUGCGGCAGAGGAAGUCCUGAGAGGAGGAGGAGGAGGAAGAGGAGGAGGAGGAGGAAGAGGAGGAGGAAGAGGAGACGGAUGGAUGGACGGGAAACGAAAACAAAGAGAACCAUCACACAUACAAACACACAAACACACACACACACACACUCACAGCCGCGGCGGUCGUCGUGCCAACACAUGAACCCAGUUCCGCCGAGGCCCAAGUGGAAAAGGCACUUUUACAUUUUGCCGAAUCAUGUAGUAAUUUUCGUACUACAGGAACUUACCUCAUCCUGUUUUUGUGCCCGUGUGUGGACUCGUGGACUCACAGGGAAACCGACCUCUCGGGGGGCGAGACACGGCUGGAACUAAAGGAAGGGGUGGGCAAGUGGAAAUAGAGACGUAGAGGACCCACUUCUCCUUCCCUCAGCCGGACUCCGGCGGCCGAGACGCGUCCAGCCGUGUAAAUACGCUCGUCGUUCGUCCAGACGUCUUAAAUAUUCACCCGGGACUCGGAGCCGCCGGGGACGGGUCUCCAGCUCCCCAUCGUCCUCCGCUAUGCAAGCCUCGGUGUGAACUCGGGGUCCGUUUGGGCCGUGGACUUCACGGCCAUCCGUUUUUUGUUUUGAAAUGACAAAAUAAAAAUAGAGAAAUAAUCCAAAAUAAUCCGUUUCCCAUCUUUUGUUUUGAUAAUGAUUGGAAUUAAAACAGCGAGUGGAAAACUCUUUUCUCUAUUUCCUAUUUGUUUCCAAUGUGGGGGGCAGUAUGUUAGAGUUCAGUUCAUGUUAUUGAUUGGAUGCUGCAGCUGAACGGACUGUCACAACAUCACUGCAGUUUCAUGACGGAGUGAAGACAGAUUACAGAUUAAACUCAUGUUUCACUCCCAGGUUUCAUAUUUGAUUUAUUUUCUGUUUCAACAUUAAAAAAAUCUAAAACUGUUAAUUUUCUAUCUGAUCAACAAAAGAACCAGAAACAACUUUCUUCAUUUAUUACUGCGCAUGUGCAAUCCCCCCAUUUGUCCAAUCCUUGUUUUCAGUAUCCUUGGAAACAAAUUGAAAAUCGAAAUUGGGAAUUAAAACAGUGAGUGGAAAACUCUUUUCUCUAUUUCCUAACACAUCAAUGAAAUCGGAUAAUGGAUAAUGAUCUGUUUUCCGUUUUUUAUUAUCAAAACAAAAGAUGGGAAACGAAUCCGUGUAUCAUUCGUUCUUUCCAUUUUCAAUUGGCAAUCAAAAAUCAAAACAUGAAAAAAUGGUUAUUUUGUUAUUUGUUUUUUAUUAUAACACAAAAAAACGUAUUUCAAUUUUAGGCACAAAUCAAAAAUACGAAAUAGAAAAACGGGCCACAGGACUGAAUUUGAUUUUAAUAUUUAAUUGGUCGGGUUUUAAAAAAUAAUCCUUAAUCUGUUGUUCCAGCGCCACCAUGGUAGCCAUGGUUACCCGAACUGCCGCGUACCAUGGAUGUAGAACCGCCGGGUCAUGUAAACUCGACCAAUUAAAUAUUAAAAUCUAAUUCAGUCCUGUGGCCCGUUUUUCUAUUUCGUAUUUUUGAUCUGUGCCUAAAAUUUUUGUGUUAUAAUAAAAAACAAAUAACAAAAUAACCAGUCACUUUUUCAUGUCUUGAUUUUUGAUUGCCAAUUGAACAUGGAAAGAACGAAUGAUACACGGAUUGAAACGGAUUUAUAUUGGAUUAUUUCUCUAUUUUAUUUUGUCAUUUCAAAACAAAAAACGGAUGGCCGCGAAGUCCACGGACCUUGUUUAAGCUGAUUAUGUAAGCUGGAGUAGCGUCGUGGUAGUUUAGAGCCGGCGUGAUCCCAGGUGCUUCUCGUCUCCCGCCUGCGCUCCCGCCCGAUCCCCGUCUCCGACGCUCCGGAGAACAUUCAGUUUGUACAAAGAAAAUAUGAAGAAAAGCCAACCAUGUUCGGGUUAUUUAACCGGUGAUAUUAUGCUUGAUAGACGGGAUGUAGCUGAGGUGUUUUUGUAGAUAUAUAUCUAUUUCUUAUUUCAGGGUGAUGAUAAACAAUAGUUGGUGUCGUGCCGGAGUUCCUUCUCGUGAAACGAGGCACCGAGACACCGGAGCUCUAGAGAAAAUCCUCGACAAUCACACUGACGGGAAGUUCUUAUCCCGGAGACGUGCUGGAUCACAACCGUAGACGCUGCUCCGGACCGCCGCAGCGGCGUUCAGGAAGUUUUACGUUGCAUGUUAGGGGAAUAAAAAGAGAAUCAUGGUCAUUUUAAAAGGAUGCAGCAAUACCAGCUCUGACCACACGAGGGCAGCGCAUCGCUAAACAGUUUUUUUAAUAAAAGAGGCUGUGAAAAGUCGGAGAUGUUUGGCGACGGCGACCUCAGAAACCACCUGGAGUAACUUUCAGACUGUUUCAGAAACCCUGUGAUGGACUGACGCGCCUCGCGUCCCCGGCCACGACCGGGGUCCAACAUUUAAACACAUUCAAAUCGUAAUCGGGGUGAAAUGUACUGAUCACAACUGUAAAUCACGAAGCGUAUCGGAGCAUUAAACGACGCUCCGACUGGGUGUGUUGGACCGUCCAUGUUCAGUCAACACAGCAGAGCCGUCUGCCCCCGAGUGGCCAGGAGCGGUACUACUACAUUUGGAAACAGACACAUUUCCAGCAUUUAGCCAAAGCCGUAACCCCGACCCAAAUUACCCACAAAUAAGCUGCUGUUCAACCUGGUUUUGGUUCAUUUUAAGCAAAGCAGGUCAAAGCAGGUCGUCAGAUCAGACCAGUUACGGAGAGACUGGUCCGUGGACUUCACGGCCAUCCGUUUUUUGUUUUGAAAUGACAAAAUAAAAAUAGAGAAAUAAUCCAAAAUAAUCUGUUCCCCAUCUUUUGUUUUGAUAAUAAAAAACGGAAAACGGAUCGUUAUCCGUUAUCCGAUUUCAUUGAUGUGUUUGAAAAUCGAAAUUGGGAAUUAAAACAGCGAGUGGAAAACUCUUUUCUCUAUUUCCUAUUCGUUUCCAGUAUGUUAGAGUUCAGUACAUGUUAUUGAUUGGACGCUGCAGCUGAACGGACUGUCACGACAUCACUGCAGUUUCAUGACGGAGUGAAGACAGAUUACAGAUUAAACUCAUGUUUCACUCCCAGGUUUCAUAUUUGAUUUAUUUUCUGUUUCAACAUUAAAAAAAUCUAAAACUGUUCAUUUUCAAUCUGAUGAACAAAAGAACCAGAAACAACUUUCUUCAUUUAUUACUGCGCAUGUGCAAUCCCCCCAUUUGUCCAAUCCUACGAAUAGGAAAUAGAGAAAAGAGUUUUCUACUCGCUGUUUUAAUUCCCAAUUUUGAUUUUCAAACACAUCAAUGAAAUCGGAUAACGGAUAACGGAUAACGAUCCGUUUUCCGGUUUUUAUUAUCAAAACAAAAGGGAAACAGAUUAUUUUGGAUUAUUUCUCUAAUUUUAUUUUGUCAUUUCAAAACAAAAAACGGAUGGCCGUGAAGUACACGGACCGAGACGUCUCUUCACGGUCAGAUCAUUGAUUGGCAACUUUUUAUUACGAUAUAAAUAUAUUUUUUUUGUCUUUGUCCCCAAUGUGUGAUCAGAAUAAGAUUUUAUGCGAUUGAAUCAAUGAACUUUUCAAGGUAAAACUAAAGACAUAGAACGUGUUAAGAGUAUAAUAAGCAGAAAAUUCAAUGAUGUGAAGGUUCAGUUUUAUGUUCAUUAAAGAAAACUGAAACCAGCUCGAUCCGGUCGGCAACUGUUACCAAAAACGUUUAGAUGUUUUCAGGGAUGAGUUGUGCGUUUCUGGUGCUGGUUUUUACCUCGGUGCCGCUGUCUUACGUAGUCGACGCCGCAGCUGCAGCUGUGAGGUGAAUAUCGCUCCAGAUGUUCCUGUCGUGGACCAGCCUGAAGUUUUAAUGACACUACAGUCGUUUUCUGCUGAAUGUAAUCCCCAGAUUCGUCUUUUUUUUUUACAAGGAUUAUCGUCGUGCUCUUAUCAGAUUAUUACAUCCUCGACGACGGUGAUUUCCGUUCGUAUUAAAAGCAUAAUAAUGUUGAGUUGAUAUGAUACGCUGCGUUUAUCCAGACCUUUCUAAUUCCUCUCGGACGCUGUUUGGGGAUUCGCCGUGCACCUGGGUUCAGGCCGUGGACUGAUUUAUGUGCUUAAAGCUUAAACCAAUAAAAAUUAUGAAUUUGCACAUCAGCUCUGAAAUCAGAAAAAGCAGAAUUUAAAACUGGAUAAUGUAAGGAAACUAGAAUUUGAGAGAUAUUGUGGGUAGUUCCACCUGCAGCCGCUAGGGGGCGGCGCAUGUUCGGUUGUUUCAGUCACGUCUCCUCAGCGUCGAUUGACAACAUGCUGUAAAUGCCAUUUUAAUCUUGGUUUGUGUAAAUGUGAACGUGUUAUGGAUCAUAGAGAUAAAUAUGCUGCUGCUUCAGUUUUCUAUUGUUUUUCAAUAAAAUUCAACAAAAACCUGA